rnacentral:rRNA from 1 species
CGGCGGUGUGCCUAAUACAUGCAAGUCGUACGCACUGGCUCAACUGAUUGAUGGUGCUUGCACCGGAUUGACGAUGGAUCACCAGUGAGUGGCGGACGGGUGAGUAACACGUAGGUAACCUGCCCCGGAGCGGGGGAUAACAUUUGGAAACAGAUGCUAAUACCGCAUAACAACAAAAGUCGCAUGGCUUUUGUUUAAAAGAUGGCUUUGGCUAUCACUCUGGGAUGGACCUGCGGUGCAUUAGCUAGUUGGUAAGGUAACGGCUUACCAAGGCGAUGAUGCAUAGCCGAGUUGAGAGACUGAUCGGCCACAAUGGAACUGAGACACGGUCCAUACUCCUACGGGAGGCAGCAGUAGGGAAUCUUCCACAAUGGGCGCAAGCCUGAUGGAGCAACACCGCGUGAGUGAAGAAGGGUUUCGGCUCGUAAAGCUCUGUUGUUGGAGAAGAACGUGCGUGAGAGUAACUGUUCAUGCAGUGACGGUAUCCAACCAGAAAGUCACGGCUAACUACGUGCCAGCAGCCGCGGUAAUACGUAGGUGGCAAGCGUUAUCCGGAUUUAUUGGGCGUAAAGCGAGCGCAGGCGGUUGCUUAGGUCUGAUGUGAAAGCCUUCGGCUUAACCGAAGAAGUGCAUCGGAAACCGGGCGACUUGAGUGCAGAAGAGGACAGUGGAACUCCAUGUGUAGCGGUGGAAUGCGUAGAUAUAUGGAAGAACACCAGUGGCGAAGGCGGCUGUCUGGUCUGCAACUGACGCUGAGGCUCGAAAGCAUGGGUAGCGAACAGGAUUAGAUACCCUGGUAGUCCAUGCCGUAAACGAUGAGUGCUAGGUGUUUGGAGGGUUUCCGCCCUUCAGUGCCGGAGCUAACGCAUUAAGCACUCCGCCUGGGGAGUACGACCGCAAGGUUGAAACUCAAAGGAAUUGACGGGGGCCCGCACAAGCGGUGGAGCAUGUGGUUUAAUUCGAAGCUACGCGAAGAACCUUACCAGGUCU